rnacentral:rRNA from 1 species
UACGUAGGGUGCAAGCGUUGUCCGGAAUUAUUGGGCGUAAAGAGCUCGUAGGCGGUCUGUCACGUCGGCUGUGAAAACUCGGGGCUCAACUCCGAGCCUGCAGUCGAUACGGGCAGACUAGAGUUCGGUAGAGGCGUGUGGAAUUCCGGGUGUAGUGGUGAAAUGCGUAGAGAUCCGGAGGAACACCGAAGGCGAAGGCAGUGUCCUGGGGAGUACCUGACGCUCAGGUGCGAAAGCUAGGGGAGCGAACGGG